rnacentral:tRNA from 1 species
GGAAGGGUGGCCGAGCGGUCUAAGGCGUGCGCCUGGAAAGUGCAUAUACUUGCGAGAGUAUCAAGGGUUCGAAUCCCUUUCCUUCCUCCA